rnacentral:rRNA from 1 species
AGAUUAGCCAUGCAUGUCUCAGUGCAGCCGCACUAAGGUGAAACCGCGAAUGGCUCAUUAAAUCAGUUGUGGUUCAUUGGACCUUACAGUUUUACUUGGAUAACUGUGGUAAUUCUAGAGCUAAUACAUGCUUGGAGAGUCCCGACCAGAAGUGGAAGGGACGCAUUUAUUAGAUCAAAACCAAUCGGGCGGCACCGCCGUUCCCGCGAGUCCUGGCGACUCUGAGUAACUUUGGGCUGAUCGCACGGUCUCCGAACCGGCGACGUGUCCUUCAAAUGUCUGCCUUAUCAACUGUCGAUGGUAUGUUCUGCGCCUACCAUGGUUGUAACGGGUGACGGGGAAUCAGGGUUCGAUUCCGGAGAGGGAGCCUGAGAAACGGCUACCACAUCCAAGGAAGGCAGCAGGCGCGCAAAUUACCCACUCCCGGCACGGGGAGGUAGUGACGAAAAAUAACGAUACAGGACUCAUCCGAGGCCCUGUAAUCGGAAUGAGCACACUUUAAAUCCUUUAACGAGUACCAAUUGGAGGGUAAGUCUGGUGCCAGCAGCCGCGGUAAUUCCAGCUCCAAUAGCGUAUAUUAAAGUUGUUGCGGUUAAAAAGCUCGUAGUUUGAUGUGUGUCCCGCGCUGUCGGUUCACCGCCCGUCGGUGUUUAACUGGCACGUCUCGCGGGACGUCCUGCCGGUGGUGGCGAGCCGAAGGCGCAGGCCGCGCGCUCUGACGACGCCCCGCGCCGCUCCGGCGGCGCGGCGGCGGCUCGCGGGGCGCGCGCGCCUCGCCGGAGGCGGACCCCGACUGAAUCCCUCCGCGGUGCUCUUCACCGAGUGUCGAGGUGGGCCGGCACGUUUACUUUGAACAAAUUAGAGUGCUUCAAGCAGGCCCCGUACCGCCUGAAUACUGUGUGCAUGGAAUAAUGGAAUAAGACCUCGCUUCUAUUUUGUUGGUUUUCGGAAGCCGAGGUAAUGGUUAACAGGAACAGGCGGGGGCAUUCGUAUUGCGACGUUAGAGGUGAAAUUCUUGGAUCGUCGCAAGACGGACCGAAGCGAAAGCGUUUGCCAAGUAUGUUUUCAUUAAUCAAGAACGAAAGUUAGAGGUUCGAAGGCGAUCAGAUACCGCCCUAGUUCUAACCAUAAACGAUGCCAGCUAGCGAUCCGCCGAAGUUCCUCCGAUGACUCGGCGGGCAGCCCCCGGGAAACCAAAGCUUUUGGGUUCCGGGGGAAGUAUGGUUGCAAAGCUGAAACUUAAAGGAAUUGACGGAAGGGCACCACCAGGAGUGGAGCCUGCGGCUUAAUUUGACUCAACACGGGAAACCUCACCAGGCCCGGACACCGGAAGGAUUGACAGAUUGAGAGCUCUUUCUUGAUUCGGUGGGUGGUGGUGCAUGGCCGUUCUUAGUUGGUGGAGCGAUUUGUCUGGUUAAUUCCGGUAACGAACGAGACUCUUACCUGCUAACUAGUCGUUUCCGGCAUCCUUCCGUGCUGCCGGCGGAAACCCUUCUUCUUAGAGGGACAAGCGGCUACUAGCCGCGCGAAACUGAGCAAUAACAGGUCUGUGAUGCCCUUAGAUGUUCUGGGCCGCACGCGCGCUACACUGAAGGAAUCAGCGUGUCCUCCUAGCCCGAAAGGGCCGGGCAACCCGUUGAACCUCCUUCGUGCUAGGGAUUGGGGCUUGCAAUUGUUUCCCAUGAACGAGGAAUUCCCAGUAAGCGCGAGUCAUAAGCUCGCGUUGAUUACGUCCCUGCCCUUUGUACACACCGCCCGUCGCUACUACCGAUUGAAUGAUUUAGUGAGGUCUUCGGACCGGUGCGCGGCCUCCGCCUCGCGCGGUGGCCGAUGCUACUGGGAAGAUGCCCAAACUUGAUUAUUUAGAGGAAGUAAAAGUCGUAACAAGGUUACCGUAGGUGAACCUGCGGAAA